CCCCACCCCUCUCACUCAGGCAUUAUAUCCAGUUGGGGGGUGGAGGCUGGCUACUCUGAAGGCACAGUGACCUGGUCAACUGCCAGGCCCAGUAGGAGAGCAUAAGGCUGCAGCCAAGGGAUCCCUGCUCCCAGUUUUUCCAACACCCUCUAUGAUUGGGGAGGGCCGAGACUGAGUGCUCUUGGGAUGGCCUGAGAAAGAAGCUUGGAGUCUGGCAGGAUUGCAAGGUCCCUAAAGCUCUAGAGUUGGUUCUUGGGCAUGCAGGCUGGCACAGCUGAAAAGCACCAUUGAGAGCAUCCACUGGCUUGAAGACUUUCUUGUAGAUGCCUUGGGACUGCCACAUGGAGUGAAGGGAGGCCGGGUUGGCCCUGACACUCCUCCCCAUCUUCUUUCAGAGCAACCUCUUUCCC